UACGGAGGGUGCGAGCGUUGUCCGGAAUCACGUGGCGUAAAGGGCGCGUAGGUGGCGACGCAAGUCAACGGUGAAAGCUCGACGCUCAACGUCGAGUCGGCCGUCGAGACUGCGUGGCUCAAGCACUGUAGAGGCAGAUGGAAUUCCGGGUGUAGCGGUGGAAUGCGUAGAGAUCCGGAAGAACACCGGUGGCGAAGGCGGUCUGCUGGGCAGUAGCUGACACUGAGGCGCGACAGCGUGGGGAGCAAACAGG
rnacentral:rRNA from 1 species